rnacentral:rRNA from 1 species
CAAAAACAUGUCUUUUUGAUCAUAAUUUAAAGUCUAACCUGCCCAAUGAGGAGUUAAAUGGCCGCGGUAUUUUGACCGUGCAAAGGUAGCAUAAUCAUUAGUUUUUUAAUUGAAAGCUGGUAUGAAUGGUUGGACGAGAAAAUAACUGUCUCGAUUUGAAUUAAAUUAGAAUUUUAUUUAUGAGUAAAAAAGCUCAUAUGAGUUUAAAAGACGAGAAGACCCUAUAGAAUUUAAUAUAUAUAUACAUAUAUUAUUUUUAGAAUUGAUAUUAAAUUAUGUGUAAUUAUAUUUUGUUGGGGUGAUAGAAAAAUUUAAAUAACUUUUUUUAUAUAAAAACAUUAAUGUAUGAAAAAAUGAUCCGUUAAUUACGAUUAUAAGAUUAAAUUACCUUAGGGAUAACAGCGUAAUUUUUUUUUAGAGUUCUUAUCGAAAAAAGAGUUUGCGACCUCGAUGUUGGAUUAAAAUUAACUUUUGGUGUAGGGGCU